rnacentral:rRNA from 1 species
UACGAAGGGGGCUAGCGUUGCUCGGAAUCACUGGGCGUAAAGCGCACGUAGGCGGAUUGCUAAGUCAGGGGUGAAAUCCUGGAGCUCAACUCCAGAACUGCCCUUGAUACUGGCGGUCUCGAGUCCGGGAGAGGUGAGUGGAACUGCGAGUGUAGAGGUGAAAUUCGUAGAUAUUCGCAAGAACACCAGUGGCGAAGGCGGCUCACUGGUCCGGUACUGACGCUGAGGUGGCGAAAGCGUGGGGAGCAAACAGG